CCUACGGGCGGCAGCAGUGGGGAAUAUUGCGCAAUGGGCGAAAGCCUGACGCAGCGACGCCGCGUGAGGGAUGAAGGUCUUCGGAUCGGAAACCUCUGUCAGCAGGGAAGAACGGUCACUGUGCUAAUCAGCAGUGAAUUGACGGUACCUGCAAAGGAAGCACAGGCUAACUCCGUGCCAGCAGCCGCGGUAAUACGGAGGGUGCGAGCGUUAACCGGAAUUACUGGGCUUAAAGCGAUCGUAGGCGGUAUGUCAAGUCAAGGGUGAAAUCCCCGCGCUCAACGUGGGAACUGCCGUUGAAACUGGCGAACUGGAGUGUAUGAGAGGAUGGUGGAAUUCCUGGUGUAGGGGUGAAAUGCUUAGAUAUCUGGAGGAACAUCAGUGGCGAAGGCGACUGUCUGGGACAUAACUGACGCUGAGGCGCGAAAGCGUGGGUAGCAAACAGGAUUAGAUACCCCAGUAGUC
rnacentral:rRNA from 1 species